GAUGAAGAACGCAGCGAAAUGCGAUAAGUAAUGUGAAUUGCAGAAUUCAGUGAAUCAUCGAAUCUUUGAACGCACAUUGCGCCCAUUAGUAUUCUAGUGGGCAUGCCUGUUCGAGCGUCAUUUCAACCCUUAAGCCUAGCUUAGUAUUGGGAAUCGACUUUACUGUCGUUCCUCAAAUUCAACGGCGGAUUUAUAGCAAUCUCUGAACGUAGUAAUUUUUUUCCUCGUUUUUGAAAUACUAUAAACCUCAGCCGCUAAACCCCCAAUUUUUCUAUGGUUGACCUCGGAUCAGGUAGGAAUACCCGCUGAACUUAAGCAUAUCAUAAGCGGAGGA
rnacentral:misc_RNA from 1 species